GUCUGUAGACAUACCACCUUGGGCCUUGAUCUUGUCAGAUCUCAAAAACUAAGAAAGAUUGGGCUUGCUGCAUAAUUGGGAUGGAAGACCUCUGAGGAAAACCCAGCUUUUGCAGGAA
ensembl:rRNA 5S_rRNA 5S ribosomal RNA